CCUACGUGAGGCAGCAGUGAGGAAUAUUGGUCAAUGGACGGAAGUCUGAACCAGCCAUGCCGCGUGCAGGAAGACGGCUCUAUGAGUUGUACACUGCUUUUGUACAAGGGUAAACCUGAAUACGUGUAUUCAGCUGAAAGUACUGUACGAAUAAGGAUCGGUCAACUCCGGGCCAGCAGCAGCGGUAAUACGGGGGAUCCAAGCGUUAUCCGGAUUUAUUGGGUUUAAAAUGUGCGUAGGCGGAUUGAUAAGUCAGUGGGGAAAUGUCCGAGCUUAACUCGGGAACUGCCUCUAAUACUGUUAGUCGAGAGGGUAGAUGCGGUGGGCAGAAUGUAUGGUGUAGCGGUGAAAUGCUUAGAGA
rnacentral:rRNA from 1 species